rnacentral:rRNA from 1 species
AGAGUUUGAUCCUGGCUCAGGGUGAACGCUGGCGGCGUGCCUAACACAUGCAAGUCGAGCGGGUACCCGCAAGGGUACCAGCGGCGCACGGGUGAGUAACACGUGGGUAAUCUACCCCUCGGAGGGGGAUAACCGGGGGAAACUCCGGCUAAUACCCCAUACGAUCCAACAACACAAGUUGUUGGAUGAAAGGAGCGUUUGCUCCGCCGAGGGAUGAGCCCGCGGCCCAUCAGGUAGUUGGUGGGGUAAUGGCCCACCAAGCCUACGACGGGUAGCCGGCCUGAGAGGGUGGUCGGCCACAAGGGCACUGAGACACGGGCCCUACUCCUACGGGAGGCAGCAGUGGGGAAUCUUGGACAAUGGGCGAAAGCCUGAUCCAGCGACGCCGCGUGGGGGAUGAAGCCCUUCGGGGUGUAAACCCCUGUUGCGAGGGAGGAAUAAGGCCUGGAGGAAAUGCCAGGCCGAUGACUGUACCUCGCGAGGAAGCCCCGGCUAACUACGUGCCAGCAGCCGCGGUAAUACGUAGGGGGCGAGCGUUACCCGGAUUCACUGGGCGUAAAGCGGGUGUAGGCGGCUCGGUAAGUCGGGUGUGAAAUCCCACAGCUCAACUGUGGAAUUGCGCCCGAAACUGCUGAGCUUGGGGCCGGUAGAGGGAGACGGAACUGCCGGUGUAGGGGUGAAAUCCGUAGAUAUCGGCAGGAACGCCGGUGGGGAAGCCGGUCUCCUGGGCCGCGCCCGACGCUGAGACCCGAAAGCUAGGGGAGCAAACCGGAUUAGAUACCCGGGUAGUCCUAGCCGUAAACGAUGCCCACUAGUGUGGGGGAUUAAUUCCUCCGUGCUGUAGCUAACGCGUUAAGUGGGCCGCCUGGGGAGUACGCCCGCAAGGGUGAAACUCAAAGGAAUUGACGG